rnacentral:lncRNA from 1 species
GGUUUGUGAGUGACGCGGGAGUGCCGGCGGGUUUGCGAGCAUUCCGGGUAGUGCUAUUUGGCCCAAACCUCACUCCUCCCUUCUUCGCAUCGUUAAUGUAAGUACCAUGUCACAGCUCAUCGCGGGACUGCGUGGGACAGCGCGGGAGCUUCUCUUCGGUGUCAAGGAAAGUGAAGACUUUUUCCUAGGCGUUAGGUUGAUAGGUUGCUAGGCUCCUAACCCUUCUUUCCUUACAGGUACACCUUAAUUGCUUUUGAGUACUUACAGAUAUGUCAGUCGAAGUUGCCGCAGAGCGGGUGCAAUGAGAGUUGUAUGGCAGUAAGCCAAGGAAAGGAGUGCUGCGGAGUCAUUCAUAUAGAGAAUGUGCGAGUGAUGCAUUGAAUCUGAAUAGAGGUGGCGCGUGUCACAGUAGCUACUGACCAGCACGUUUUCCAGUAAUGACGAAGUUGAGUUGGAAGUACGAGAGGAAUGCUUAAGAAAGAGCAGGCGUAAUUGAUGUUCAGAUCAAAGAUAGCAAAUACAACAUUCUCCA